AAGAAUGGAUAUGUCCAUCUAAAACAUUUAUUUAUUUUUUGUGGGGGAGAAACUGAAAUUUAAUCUUUUCACUGAAAAUUUCCUAUGUUGUUGCUACAUAAUAACUUCUAAUAUUGAGUGGUGAUGAUAAAUUUUCCAAUUUUAUGUGGAACUAGAAUUUUUGGUUGUCUAUUUCUAUUUUAAAGCUUCUGGUAUGUAUAUGAAGUCCCUUUUUUCUGAAGUGUGAUACUUAUAUUUAUCUUUUUGUCCACCUCCCAGGUUCAAGAUAUUGCAAAAAGAGGUUCAAGAUUAAGACAGCAGUUCAACUAUUUAUGCAUAUUCAAUUUUAUAUUGUCUUAAUAAACACGUAUCUUAAAAAAGAUUAGAACUUGCAAGGGGCAUGUUAUAACUAUAUCUAUGUAUGUAUGCAUUUUGAUACAUAUUCAUAGGAGACAAAUAAUAUAAGAACAUACAUAUAUUUCAAGAAAUGUGGAUAAAGAAAGGCAUAGUAUCAUGGGGUUAUACCAUCACUUUAUUAUACCUUGAUGAAUACCUCCAACAGCAAAUGAAAAGGAAAUACUCAAUAUAAAAUCAGAAAAUAUCCCUGAGUAUGUAUAUAUAAAAGUAUAUAUGAAUAUGUGAACAAGUUAGGCUUAAAUAUCAGGUUUUAGUCAAUUUAUUUUUUCUAAUAUUAAAUUCAGGUUUGCUACCGAAUUGAAGAGAUCUGUGAAAGGCUCAAGAGAAAAUGGAAAGACAUGGAAAAUACAGAAUAGAGUUGCAUAUUAAAACCAAACAAAACAAAACAUGGAUUUGAACUCAGUCAACAAGGAUCUAACAGGCAAUGAAGAGAUUGUGACCUACAUUAUUAGAGAAAGUUAGUUAUAUAUCCAUGAUUAAAUGGAAUUUUUAGAAAGAAAUUAUUUCAAAAAUUACUGUUCAUCAUAUUAUUAACUUGCUGUUUGAUAAUCAAAUAAUUAUAGAAUAAGAAGGAAAAGUAUGCUAAAAUAGAAACACUACAUAAGCAAAGGGGUAAAAGUAUACUUUUUCUCAGAGUUGUUGAGGAAUGAUUAAUAAGUAUAAUUAAGUAGAUUAGUAUUCCAACCACUGUUUCA
rnacentral:lncRNA from 1 species